rnacentral:misc_RNA from 1 species
AAGUCGUAACAAGGUUUCCGUAGGUGAACCUGCGGAAGGAUCAUUACCUUUCCCGUCAUUUUGACUGGCUCGGGGGUUGGCUUUGCGAGGUCCCCAAAAGGACCCCUGCCUCCCUGGCUGCAUCCUUGUCUAUUGCGUACUACAUGUUUCCUCGGUGGGCUUGCCUACCGGUUGGACAACCAUUAAACUCUUUUGUAAUUGCAAUCAGCGUCUGAAAAUAAUUUUAAUUAUUACAACUUUCAACAACGGAUCUCUUGGUUCUG